rnacentral:rRNA from 1 species
GACAGAGGCCCCAAGCGUUAGGCGGAAUCACUGGGCUUAAAGCGUGUGUAGGCGGAUCGUUAAGUGUCUUGUGAAAUCCCACGGCUCACCCGUGGAACUGCUGGGCAUACUGGCGAUCUUGGGCCAACUAGGGGCAGUCGGAACAAGCGGUGGAGCGGUGAAAUGCGUAGAUAUCGGGAGGAACACCAGUAGCGAAGGCGGCUCGCUGGGCCAUUCCUGACGCUGGAGGCGCGAAAGCUAGGGGAGCGAACAGG